rnacentral:tRNA from 1 species
CGCGAGGUGGGGCAGGGCUUGCCGGUCGCGCUGACGGUCGCGAGCGCGUCGUCGGAACUGGCGGCGCGCACGGUCACGGCGUUCCAUCACGGC